AGUGAACGCUGGCGGUAGGCCUAACACAUGCAAGUCGAACGGCAGCACAGUAAGAGCUUGCUCUUACGGGUGGCGAGUGGCGGACGGGUGAGGAAUACAUCGGAAUCUACUUUUUCGUGGGGGAUAACGUAGGGAAACUUACGCUAAUACCGCAUACGACCUACGGGUGAAAGCAGGGGAUCUUCGGACCUUGCGCGAUUGAAUGGCCGGUGUUCGGAUUGGCUAGUUGGCGGGGUAAAGGCCCACCAAGGGGACGUUCCGUAGCUGGUCUGAGAGGAUGAUCAGCCACACUGGAACUGAGACACGGUCCAGACUCCUACGGGAGGCAGCAGUGGGGAAUAUUGGACAAUGGGCGCAAGCCUGAUCCAGCCAUACCGCGUGGGUGAAGAAGGCCUUCGGGUUGUAAAGCCCUUUUGUUGGGAAAGAAAAGCAGCAGGUUAAUACCCCGCUGUUCUGACGGUACCCAAAGAAUAAGCACCGGCUAACUUCGU
rnacentral:rRNA from 1 species